rnacentral:lncRNA from 1 species
CACGCCACGUCAGAUAAGUGAAGGCGUCUUUCCCUUUUACGUUUUCGCUAAUCGAAAGCGUAUUUCUAACUUUGCGCUUCUGCCUUAUCCACUUAGGGACUAUACUGUGAAUAUAAUUUUUGCAGAAAAGUCCCUGAACUUCAAGUCUUCACAACUUUUUAUCCGUAGCUCCAAAUCAGGUGAAACAACGCUCACUUCUUCGUUUCGUCGAGCCCUUUAUGUUGGUGUCACUUUCAUUAUGUUUUGGCAUACUGAAAAUGACCAUUUUGCCCCUACCCUUAAUCACUCCCCUCCGAGAGAGAACGUUUUCUGGCGAUUCAUUCCGCGAGUUUCUGACACUUGUUCCCGGUGCCUUCUUCAUCCCCAGGCAAGCCACAAUACCCACUUACAUGAUAGUCAUGCAGUAUCCAUGGUUUUCAACUUAAAUCUUUAUUAAAAGUUUGCUUGUUGAAAAGAUGGUUAUCGUUGUUCUGGUGAUGUUUAGAGUUGCAUGUUCACUGUUAUGCUAUGUUGUCUUGUACUCUAUUAUCAUGUUAUACCUACUAGUAUCUCCUUUCAUAUGAUUAUGAUUGCUAGUGGUACAUGUUGAUGUUGGUGAUGGUUGUGCUAGUCAGUAUGCCAUGUUCAGUGCAUAUGAGUUAUUGUUGAUAUGAUGGAUGGUUAUGUGAUACCUUCAUGGUGAUGUUCAUAUCAUGUUCAUGUAUUAUAGUUGGCAUCAUGUUAUUUUAUCAUGGCUCAGCAUAUUUGCAUUCAAGUUUAACCGGAUUAAAUUGAACUUGAACAAUUGUUGUUUGAGUCAUGGUGCCGCUGAAUCGAUGCUGACCAGUGCAACCACGCUUACCGGUAUGGGACGGUCCUAACUGGGUCUAUUGUUGUGCCUCUCGCCGGUGCCUCCAACGAGGGAAGGUUAUGGGCGCGCGCUACCCUGAUCAGGUAGGCGGAGCAUAACCUUGUGUGCCCGUAGUUGUUAUAGCCGGCGGAUCCCCGCGUGGGAUCGUUUAUGUUUUGGGCCACGACGGUGGUCGAGGUGUCUGGAGGUAGAUAUGGGGCCACCCAGGACUAGCCCGAUGGGGACUGAGUCGAAGUGGCCGGGAGAGUAUCAUGGCAGUAGAUCGGUUUUGUCGGAACGUCGUUGGUCUACCCGAAUGGGAGUGUGAGGCCAUGGGUUUCGUAGUGUGGUUAAAGUGUACUAACCUCUGCAGAGUGUAUAUUAAUCUAUCGAUAGCCGCGCCCGCGGAUAAGGGCCCAGGUCGAAAGUAGGUCACACCAUGAGUCAACAGUAAUAAGAAUAAUGUGCUUAAUAACAAUGAGAUAAGUUGGUGGUGUUCUCCGUAAGGAUCACGGGCCAUUUAGUGGUCGGGUUGUGAUCGUCGUAAGGGUCACGGGCCAAGUGUUGGUCGAGUUGGGAUCGCCGUAAGGAUCACGGUGGUAUCGAGGAUACCGAGUUGUUGUAUAUUUGUGAUGUUGUGCGAGAAUCAUGGGUAAAGGUCAAGCUCCUUGUGGUCCUUUACUGAUCGCUACGGUUUUAUACCAAGCUUGAUUUGAUCCUGAGAUGAUCGUGUGAUCUCCAAGGUUGGUAAGUGAUGCAUGUGUUGGUUACGAGGUAGCCGAGCAGAAUAAGCGGUGCAUAUAGUGUCAUUAAGUUGCACGCAAGUAUUGUCAGAUUAUUAUGUUCAUGUUGUGAUAGCUGUAUCGUGUUUAUGUUGGUCAUGCCAUGUUAUAUUGUUCUGAUGAUAUCAUGAUAAUUCCUGUUUAACCUGUAAUUGCCAUGCUAUUGUCUGUCUUGAAUGCUUCUGGUUAUUGUGAGCUUGCAAGUACAUUCAAUGUACUGACCUGGCGUGUCAUUCCAGUUUGCAGGUCAUGCCAGAUUUGAUUGCUUGCUUAUCGUGGUUUCCGUUCGUGCGAUCUAGGAUAAGCGUUCCAGCCAGAGUCCCUACGGAGUGGAGUUCACCACCGUCGUCGAUGUUCCGCUGCUAGAGUUAUUCCGCUGCUUCGAGUUGUUCUACUGCUUGCAUAGAGCAACUGAGGAUGGCGUAGUGUCGUCGUGCCGAUGUUAUUCAUUGUAAUAUCGGAGACCUUGUAUUCAUAUUCGUGUAAUAAUAGAAAGCUGGUUUGUUCUAUGCUAAGCAGCGCCAUAUUCCAGAAGACUUCUCCUUGAUAUCUAGGCUGGAAUACGGGGCGUUCCGGUUUCCUCUGAGCCGGCGUGCCACGGGCUUGGUAUCAGAGCAGGUCUGGCUGUAGGACGCCCUAGACCGCGCGAACGUUAGAAAGCGGUAGUAUAGACCCCAGUUGGUUUGUUGCACUUGAUUGCUGCAUUUGUUUGUCGCAUAGCAUGCAUAUAGAUUAUUAUUUAGUCGCUAACAGUUUAUCUGGUGAGUGUAGCUGGCAUCGAUUCGGAUCCACUAUAGCUCAAACCUUGCAUUUCUCCAGUUCCUUUUUUCUUUUGGUGUUUGGUGUCAUUUCUGUCCCAGCUGAGUGAUGCCAAGUGAUCCCGACACUGUUUGCAAAAAUGGUGCUCAGGUAUCGCACCGAUGUCUUUCCUUCAGUCCCGUCUAUCGUUUCGGUGAUAGGCAUGCUUCUAUACUGGAUCGUUCUUUUAUUUUGUCGUGUUGGCAACCCUUAAUGAUCUUAGUUAUCAAGAAAGAGCAAUGUCAGCAGCCUUAGUUUUUCCCCGCUAUCCUAUUUCUUGGACGAGUACGGAAUUGUUUUCCGUCCGCUUGAUAAUGAUGUGGUUGCGACCUUCAUGUCCCACUACAUGAUUACUGACUACGUCCU